GUGAGCGAAUUCCCUUCCUAAAUCAGCGUCCAGACGCGCAGGGCUGGGAGGAUUUAGGGGGGGAAGGAGGAGGGGAAUGAAAAGAAGGGAGAGAGAGAGAGAGAGAGAGAGAGAGAGAGAGAGACCGGAGUGGGAGAAGGAGCGCCAGGAGAGGGAGGGAGCGAAAGAAAGCCAGCUAGAGCUCCUCGCCACCCUCCUCCGCCUCUAGAAUUCCCCGGGCGUCUGCUCGGCGGUCUAGAAGGUCGGGCUCUGCUGUGGGCUGCGGGGAGCCGGAGGCCUCUUGAUUGGCUCUUUGACGCUUUCGGACCAAUUGUGUUGCUGCAUAGGCGUGGUUUUCACAGGUCGAGUGCUGGGGGAUAGAGCCGAGUUAUAAAAAGAAGGUGUCGGAAACUGUAACGUCGCAGCGCCGCAACGGCUGCCUCAGACACAUUCCCGGGAAGACAGAAGAAAGGAAGAAACAGGAAGGUCAUGGAGGAGUGGCAGAAGACCAAUGAGUAAACUUGACCCUGGUGCGUGGCUUGCAGGAUCUCCCUGACCAGGGACUGAACUGUGCCCUCCUCCGUGGACGUGCAGAGCCCUAACCGCUGGACAGCCAGGGCACUCCUGGUGGUGUGUACUUCUACCAAAAGACUCACAAAAUUGCUUGUAUUUCUUCUUGGUUUGUGAGCAGCUGCUGAAGACCAUUUUCGGCGUGGAUCCAUCAUUUCUUUAAGGGUUUGCACAACAGUGAUAUUUCGUGUCUUUCAUUUCAUCUUCAUUAUGUGAAAUACUCCCAAAUUUCUCAAGAGGACACCACAUCACUAAACGCUAAGGUUUGAGCAGACAUCGUCCACUAUCUACAUUUUCACGCUUUUCAGUGAUAAACCUCUUCGACUGAAUUUGACAUAUGUUAUAUCACUGAACUGCACUCAACUGGAAAUUAAAAGAGAUAACCUUUGAAAACAAAUGUGCCUAGAAUUUCUUCCUGCAGUCAGUGGUCAGUCCAUUCCUAAUCCGGGGGCUGUGGGCAACUUUGUCGGGAAUUUCUUUUCUUUCCCUUUUAAAAAUUUUUAUUGGAAUACGGUUGAUUUACAAUGCUGUGUUCGUUUCAGGUGUAAGGAAUUUAUUUCUGCAUUCAGUCAGGAAAUUCAAUUUGCCUCUUGCAAACAAAAUGAAAAAGGAGCCUGUGAAGCUCUCUGAAAAUGUUGAUCGAUCCGUGGGACCCUCCCCCCACCCCCCAUCUCCCCCUACUUUUCACCAGCGCUGGGAGAAGGGAAGGUCGGUUUGGGAGAAUCCUGAGCAGAGAAGGUUUACAAACUGGAAGCUGCUUUAGGGAAAAGUGCAUUGUUUCUGCUUUCAUUUUUCAUGUCAAAGUCCUCACGCCAUCAGAGCACACAGGAGACUUUAAACAAACCACAUUGCCCCCAGGUCUGCUUCUUGAAGGAGGGGAUUUACUCUUUACCCCUCCCCCUGACGAGUGUUAACAGCAGAAUUAAGGCUGGGGAAUCUGGCAGGGGCUCGCUUGCAGCAGGGAAGGUGUGUCUGGGCUUUUUUGCAAGGCAUUAAUCACUUGUUUAUAGAGGGGGAAGGAAAAAAAAAAAAAACAGAAGGAAGACAGUGGGGGCUGUUCCCUAUUUUGGGUUCCCUUCCAGGCAAACCCUCUCAUGGCCACAAGUGAAAGUCGAUCAGUCGUGUCCGACCCUUUGAGAUCCCAUGGACGAUACAUACAGUCCAUGGAGUUCUCCAGGCCAGAAUACUGCAGUGGGUAGCCUUUCCCUUCUCCAGGGAACCUUCCCAACUCAGGGAUUGAACCCAGGUCUCCCGCAUUGCAGGCAGAUUCUUUACCAGCUGAGCCACCAGGGAAGUCCACGAAUACAGGAGUGGGUAGCCUAUCCUUUCUCCAGGGGAUCUUCCUGAUCCAGGAAUCAAACCGGGGUCUCCUGUACUGCAGGCGAAUUCUCUAGCAGCUGAGCCUCCAGGGAAGCCCUUGCACCCGCCCUCCGUUCUCCGGCGACUGGCUCAGCUGGUCUUGGUCCUGGGGUCCAGGUUGAUCCCCUGGGGAGGUGAGCAUGGAGGUGUAUCAGUGGUGAGGGCCGGGCUGCCCAACGCGUGCAGAGCUGCAGGCCUGAACUACCUUUAAGUAUUUAGAGUCUCACCCCCACCUCCCCACACACGUAUACCCCUUUUCAAAUGUACGUCAAAUCACCAUAUUUCCCAAGUUGACUCUCCAUACCCAUGUUCUGAAAACAAAAACAAGAACACUGUUAUUUUCACAUAAAUAUUUACCUAAAGACACUGGUUUUCUGUGCGGAAUUGAACUUGGAAACCAGAACUGGAGGUGAAUCUACUUUCAACUGUAAACUGGAACUGUGUCAUCUAUGGAUGUAUUCGUUACAAAAGGGCACAUUUUUUUUUUUUGUUUGUUUGUUUUUCCUGAU
ensembl:lncRNA